rnacentral:misc_RNA from 1 species
CUCCAAUGCACCGUUUCAUCUCCAGUCUAUAUUCUCAUAACAUCCCCUUUGUGUUCAAGUUCAGUACGGACCCAAUCACGAAGCCUCUUAAUCCCCGGUACAAUUCCCUGAAAUUACUUUCCACUUUUUGCUUAAGCUCAUCAAAGGUAGCAUUGGUUUUCAAUGAGAUGCAUUCAAAUGGUGGCAUUGCCUUUGCCCCUUCAUUAGUUGUUUCAAUGUUUCUCAAGACAACUGAGCAAACAGAGUUUCAAUUCCCCUUCUAGGCCUAAUUCAAGUAUAGAAGGCACUUCGG